AACGAACGCUGGCGGCAGGCCUAACACAUGCAAGUCGAACGCUCUCUUCGGAGGGAGUGGCAGACGGGUGAGUAACACGUGGGAACCUACCCCUUGGUACGGAAUAACUGAUGGAAACGUUAGCUAAUACCGUAUGAGCGCUGAGGCGGAAAGAUUUAUCGCCAAGGGAUGGGCCCGCGUAGGAUUAGCUAGUUGGUGGGGUAAAGGCCUACCAAGGCGACGAUCCUUAGCUGGUCUGAGAGGAUGAUCAGCCACACUGGGACUGAGACACGGCCCAGACUCCUACGGGAGGCAGCAGUGGGGAAUAUUGGACAAUGGGCGCAAGCCUGAUCCAGCCAUGCCGCGUGAGUGAUGAAGGCCUUAGGGUUGUAAAGCUCUUUCACCUGGGAAGAUAAUGACGGUACCAGGAGAAGAAGCCCCGGCUAACUUCGUGCCAGCCGCCGCCGUAAGAC
rnacentral:rRNA from 1 species